UACGGAGGGUGCAAGCGUUGUCCGGAAUCACUGGGCGUAAAGGGCGCGUAGGCGGACAUUUAAGUCAGAUGUGAAAUACCCGAGCUUAACUUGGGUGCUGCAUUUGAAACUGGGUGUCUAGAGUGCAGGAGAGGUAAGUGGAAUUCCUAGUGUAGCGGUGAAAUGCGUAGAGAUUAGGAAGAACACCAGUGGCGAAGGCGACUUACUGGACUGUAACUGACGCUGAGGCAUGAAAGCGUGGGGAGCAAACAGG
rnacentral:rRNA from 1 species